UACGUAGGGGGCUAGCGUUGUCCGGAUUUAUUGGGCGUAAAGAGCGUGUAGGCGGCCAGGUAGGUCUGCUGUGAAAACUCGAGGCUCAACCUCGAGACGUCGGCGGAAACCAUCUGGCUAGAGUCCGGAAGAGGAGAAUGGAAUUCCCGGUGUAGCGGUGAAAUGCGCAGAUAUCUACAGGAACUCCGGUGGCGAAGGCGGCGUGCUGGAUCUCUUCUGACGCUGAGGCGCGAAAGCUAGGGGAGCAAACGGG
rnacentral:rRNA from 1 species